GCUGGUGUGGCGUAGUUGGUAGCGCAAUUGAUUCGUAAUCAAUAGGCCAGGGGUUCAAGUCCCCUUACCAGCUCCA
rnacentral:tRNA from 1 species